UUCGGACUUCCCGCCGAUCUCUGUUUGGUACGAAAACGAUUCAUGGUAUUCGAAAGAUAAUCGUCGACUUUACAUGUUUAGAGUCUUGGAAUAUAAAGGGAAAAUAUCGAAUAUAGAUGUAGAGGAGACAUCUCACCCAAGAUGGCGCCAAAAUACGUCACGAAAUGAUGGAGUCAGUAUCCGAUUGCGUGGAGGAGUGGAGACAUAUCCUCACAGCAUUGAAGAUAUACGAGAGGCUAAACAGGACAGGUUGAGACAGGCUUGGGGAACUGCUGCAUUGGUGGGAGGGGCACUUCUGGCUGCUGGAGCUGCUGCCAUGGCGUCGUAAAAUAGAGAAAAUAAUCAAAAUGACAGACGUCGUCAACAACAGCAACCGGAGAAUCCGAAAAAUGAAGAAUGCGCCAUCCAGUGAUAUAAAAAGAUUUAUUUGAAAAUAUGAAUAUAAAUAGCAUUUACCCGUAACUUCAAUACUGUUGAAAAAUGCCAUUCGUUAAAUGUUCCGUCUUACUACAUUUUCUAUCAAUGCACUUCACACUGUAAACACGUGGUUUUCUAUGUCACCUUCAAAAUUCCCCAUACGUACUUUCAGAACAGCAGUUGCUUCAGGUGAUUCCGU